rnacentral:rRNA from 1 species
UACAGAGACUGCAAGCGUUAUUCGGAUUCACUGGGCGUAAAGGGUGCGCAGGCGGUUGUGUGUGUCAGGUGUGAAAGCCCGGGGCUUAACCCCGGAAUUGCGCCUGAAACUACAUGACUAGAGCAUUGGAGAGGGUAGCGGAAUUCACGGUGUAGCAGUGAAAUGCGUAGAUAUCGUGAGGAACACCAGAGGCGAAGGCGGCUACCUGGACAAUUGCUGACGCUCAGGCACGAAAGCCAGGGGAGCAAACGGG